CGCGCUGAGAGCUUGUGCACGGGUGGGCGACGGGCCGGCUGCAGCCCGGGAGCUCUGAGAUGCUCCCGAGGCCUCCGGCCCUGGCUGCACCCCACGGGCUGCACCCCACGGGCUGCACCCCAGCUGCACCGCAGCUCGGCCUAGAGCGUGCGUGCCUCGGAGCCUCGGUGCACGCAUGCGCGGUGAGGCGCUGUGCGUCCUGGGCUCGGGUUUCCGGGCCCCGUUGCUUGGGGAUGUGCAGGGCUGACUCAGCGCUGGGCUGCAGGAAAGGACCGGGGAGCGGGGCAGGCGUCCCCGGGCCGAGCACAGCAGGGUGGGGUGGGUGGGUGGCCGGGAGGGCACUGGCAAUUUCCCGGGAGCCACGGUGCCUCAGUUUCCCUGUGGGGGGAGCUCGGCCCGCACCUCGAGCCCCGCCUGCUGCCCGUUCUCGUUAAUGAGGUGGAAGGGGACACUGGCCAUGGGCUCCAACCCCAGCACUGGAAAAAGAAUUUUUUAAAAAUGAGUUAUCUGUGUUUUUGUCUUGUCACAGUGGGCGGGAACAAGGGGGCUGAAAGAGGAAGGGAAUUUGGGGAACUGUGCCCUGAUGACACAUUUCCAUCCAGUCACCCAGGUCUCUGCCCGGCUUCUGGGACAGCUCCCAGCCCCACCCAGCUCUGCACCUUGGAAGUAAAAGGUACUGGACAUUGCCAUUUGUCAGGAGGUGACCACCAUGUUGUCUUCACAGCAUGCGGGCUGCUGUCUGGAGUCUCUGGCCCAAAAUCCACUUUGUGGCUUCCCUGGUGAGUGUUGCGGUGGGGUGGCCGCCCCCAGCCGGGGUCUAAUCUCCCGGAAAGGUAGGUGCCAGCGUCUCCCAGGCCCUAGGUCCCGGGUUCAGACCCCUCUUGCCAUCCCACAGCUCUUGGCUGUGUGCAAGAGGAAAGGUUUGGCUAAGUCUGGGGGAGCUCAGAAGUCCAGAAGGAUCCCUCCAGUAGGGUGCACAGUGGCUGGGCCGGUUCAGCAAAACCACCAGGAUCCACAACUGGCCUCAGAUUGUCCCGUGUGAGGUUCAGUCUUUGGGGAAGGGAUUGGGUCCAGGGAUCCCCGGCUGCUGUAGGACUGAAUAGCUCGCUCCUGGGUGGACCGAAAAGCUGACCUCUUAGGCUGUCUGUCUCCAUUAACUCUGAGAGGGCUUAACUUUGGAGUCUUUCUACAUCUUGAAAAUGUUUUCUAGUAUCUGGGCUGACAGGGAGAGGCACAUGCUCAGGGUGUGUCUAUUCCACUCUGGGUGCCUCCGGCUCAAUAGGAGUGCGGGAUGUGCCCCAAGCACGCAGACGGGCCUACUUAGGUCCCUGACCCCGCUCUGCUCAGACACAUUAGCUGGCUUCCAGGAGAGCCGGCGUUGUCUAAAACCGAAGAACUCAUUUUAGGAACCACAGAUGUGAAGGGCAGGGUCUGUUUACUGAGAGAAACUUUCUGAGAGACACAGAAGAGGAUCUGAGCAGGUUGCCCAGGACUCUUUAUUUUCCAGGUACUUUUACAGAAGCAAACCAGGGUUCAAGGCGGGGAGGUGGAGGACUUCACAAGGCAGAUGGGCACAAGGUGGCACAGAACUGCAGGGAGCCAGGAAGGUCCGAGGUUCUGUAACAUUGCAUCACAGACAAAUGGGGAAGCGAGUCCCCGAGACAGCGAGCAUUGCUACAGAGCUGUGACUUCCCUAGGGGGAAGGAAACUAUUGGGGUGCCUGUCCCCAGGAUAUGGGUGCAUCGUCUGAUCCUCUGUCUUGAGGCCUGGCCCCCAGCAGGAGGCGUCUGUGUCCCCCUAAGCUGCAGGGUGUCUGCAGGGGCUCCAUGGAGGACCAGCCCCUUCUCCCUGCCUGUAACGUUUCUAACCGGCUCAGCUGCCUGCAGCAACCCCCACUCUGAAGAAGGAACCCCAACUGCCGUGGGUGCAGGAAACGGCGCAGAAGACGGAACCAGCAGCUUCAGGCCGCACAGGGUGGCAGUUUCUCAAUGGCCGUUGGAGGAACUUCCGCAGAAAGCCUGUCUAGAGCCCUCGAUGGAGGCCGGGGAUUGCCAGCUUGGGUGUGUGCACGGCUCCAGCUCUGCCCACGCCACGGUUAAGCACGGAUGGGCCAAAGAGUACGAUCGGCGCGGGGCUUGGUGACCUGGCCCGCCUGGCCACCAUGAAGGGAGCGUCUCUCCUCCCCACACCGUGCACCAUGAUGCUCCUGCCUUGGAGCGGCCGGCCAUGGACUGCACCUUCUGCACGGUACUUCUGCUGCUGAGCUAAAUUCCCGGCCUUCGCAUCAAGUCUAUUUGUGCAGCUAUCAAGUGCUCAUUGAAAUAUAAAGCAACUAAAUUACAUUUAAGAGCAAGAAAGCAGAAGCUUAAAGAUCAAAGAACGGCACGUGAAGAUAAGAACAGAAAUUGUGCUCAAGAGUGUGGAAUCCGUAAGGAGUGGGCUAAGGAAUCAUGAAACCCUUAGGAGCUAGAAGAGACCCUUUCUAGAAUUUUGGGAGAGAAAACUAGACUGUCAUGCAGUUGAUCUUUGCCCAGUGAGACUUCGGCCUUGGAAAACGCUAAGAUUUCCUAAGCCGUUCCUGGUGCAGGACCCUGAGCCCCAGCAUCCGGAGGCCGAGGCGGGAGGAUCCCCGAGAGUUCAAGGCCGGCCUGAACCAUCCAGAGAGACGGUGUCUCAGAAAACACAAAAAUGGCAAAGUAAAUGCUGACAGCGAUGAGCCCUUUUAUUCUGAGUACACUAAAAAAAAAAAUUAGAUCAAAAUUAGGCAAGUUCAAAGAGCAUUUAAUAGAGUUAAAAUAAGUUUACGGGCCUCUGCUUCUUUGGCACAAAAUGACAAAAAUGUGCAGCUCUUGGAAACGUUAAAUGAGACGUAAAUAAUCUUCCCUCAUCUAACAAGCGAGACUUUAUUAAGCGAUCCCCCGUCCUAACGAUAAUUGUGUGUGUUAAUCAGAGAGGUGCUUAUCGCGUCUAAUUACACGGAGCACAGCGGGGAGAAUUCCCUCUGCGGACUGCGGGCCGGAUGGUGCCUACUGGGGAAAAUCGCCCUGCAGACUUACAAGACACCAUCACGACGAUGCGGGAUGCACAAGGAAAACUUAAAUAAUUUUGUGCCCUUUGUAGGUUGGAAAAAAAACCUUUUUCUCUGUGGGAAAAAUUUUAGAGACCAAGACUUGAAAAAGAAAAAUACAUUCUCCAGAUCAGUGCUUUACUGGGUACCGAGGCUCAUCACGACUUUCUGUCUCCCUCUCUCUCUCCUCUCCUCUCUUCCCUUCCCUUCUCCUUCUCUUUUAAGGGUCCAUGAGUAUUUCCUAGGUAAACUGAGGCCUCCCAAGCGACCCACCACCCUCCCAAAAUACACCGAGCUCCUGACGAUCCGCAGAACCCAGCGCCCAGCGCCCAAAGUUCUGCCCGGAGGAGACAGAUCCUCACGCCCUCACCUGGGGUGCUCCUCUCCUUGGAUUUAGAAGCUGCAGUGGAGGUCAAAGUGGGACCAAACCCAGACUGGCCUGGGUCCCAUUCCUCCUCCUGCACCCUGCCCGCGGGGGAGACCUGGGUGUUUGCACAAACAGAACCGCAUGGCGCCUUCGGGAGACCCGGGGCUGUGCUCACAGCAGCAUCACUUUGGAGUUGCAUGAUUUUGUGCUUGCAGGAGUUUCCACCCAGGGGUGAGGGCAGUCUCGUUAGCAUCUGCUGUGGCUGGGGAGAAAUGCACAUUCAGGUCAAUCAAUAUUCAUUUUAUGGUUGUGGCGGAGGGGGCACCUGCCGAGGGUGUUGAGGUGCCGGGGUGCUGAGCUGGGGGUCUCCAGGGUGAGGUUGAUGUGCGUUCUUUAAAAGAUUUGCAAAAUAUAGCAGAGCAGCCGGGAGGCAGGUGAUAGUAUUCAUCUUCUGCAUGAAGGAGAGAGACUGCUUUGUGCCUCCAUAUUGGUGACAUUUUUCACACUCGAUUUUUUGGGUCGGAGCUUUAGGGAAUUUUCUGCCCCUGCAAACCUGGGAAAGGACCAGAUUCCUGUUAUUUGGGGGCCUCUCCAUCCUCCACAUUCUUGGCUUUGUGGCUGGUGUUUCACUGAGAGAUUCCGGCACAAAACAUUUCUUCAUUCCUCCGAGCAAAAAAUUAUCUUUGCCUGUGAAGCAUUUAAUGGGUCUUUAUUAUCCAAAAACACCAGCAAAUGAUUUUAACCGUGCAGAACACGCGGGGGCUGAUUCGAAUCCAGCACCAGCUCUGGUGAACGGGGGAGUUACGAAAUAAAAAGCCCGCCUUGCUGGUGCACCCCUUGAGGAAUUUUGUAUUUAUUUGGUUUUCUUGUCCGUGUAGGAAACGCCUUUUAAAAUCACAGCAAGAGUUGCUCUUUGCGUGCUCGGGCAGCUGCCUGCACCUCGGUCUGUUUGUUGAUGACACAGCGUUUUGUGCACACGGCUCCCCGAAGGUGUGAAUGUGUUUUCUGAGACUUCUCACGCCCGCCGUGUCCUUAGCUCACACUGCAUUUGUGCAACAAGAUGAUGCCUGAUUUGUGCAGGCGAGGACAACAUCUGCUGUCUCGGCAUCCUGGGAUGUGUCUGGGACACGCUGAGCAUUACAGCUCCCCACGGACAGCCUGCGUCCUGCCGAGGGCCGUCGGUCUUUGGAUGAGGACCCCGGAGGGCUAGAAAAUCUCUAUUUGCACACUCUUCAGAAACUGAGGCACAGAGAUCACACAGGAGCUUGGUGUCAGUCAGCGCUUGCUAAUGGGACAGGCCCAGAUAUCACAGACUGUGAAGACCUGGAGAAAUAUCGCGUUUGUUGAUUGCAUCAUUUCUGGCUGACUGCGUUGACCAAGCCCAGUCUCUUCCUGCUGGGUUACGUCUGCUGCAGAAUGUAAAGUACGCUCUAUAUUCUGCCCCAGGAACGGGCCGGCCUGUGGCUUCCAGCCUGCUGGCCGUAACGAAAUCACUCGGUGUGAGUUGUCAUCUGCUGGCACGGAAGCUGGUCAGCUGCAGCAUUAAAAGGUGCCCUGUUCAGGGCAGAUAAAAAUGCAACUUUUUUUCCUAGAGGAUAAUGCAUGCAAUUAAACACAUAAAAUGUGACAUGUGUAUCAGCUCUUUAGGAACAAGAUCCGUUUUCGACAAAAUGUUGCCCUGGUCUGUGGGAGCGCUGCUGAUGGAGAUGGUGGUGAUGGUGGUGAUUACGGUGAUGGAGACGGUGGUGCUGAAGGUCACGAUGACCCAGAUUUCCACAAUAAUAAUCGAUCGGCUCGACUGUCUUACUUUCUACACUUGGGUGGGACCUCAGGGUCCUUGCCCUUCUGUGCCUAACGUCUGCCACUUAACAAACUGUCCUCCAGUCGUAUAUAUGGGGGAAAAUGCCAAGAAGCCAUUAUGUGAAGGGUGGAGGCACCCGCCAUGGUGUGAAUACAGCACAUUCUCUCCACGUGUUUGUUGACUGACAAACACGCAGACUGUUUCCAUAACCUGGCUGUGAAAAUCAAGGGCUAAGGUCCCUGGCAACACGAAAUCUCUCUGAGAUCCUGUUUUAUGCUGCAGGCAAACAAGAAAGGAAAAGCUGAGUCUGAGGAGGUGGAGUUGCCAGCCAGAAAGAAACAGGGCCAGGAAAUAUUUAUCCGGGGCCUCCGCGUCCUUCCUUUGGUCCAUCCUGGUUCAUUGUGUCCUGUCAUGUGGGAUAUGUAUCUAUCUAUCUUUCUUUCUUUCUUUCUUUCUUUCUUUCUUUCUUUCUUUCUUUCUUUCUUUCUUAACUAUUAUCAUCUGCAAUCCAUUAUUUUUCUACCAAAAAAAUGCCUAAAAGAAGAUAAUGUAAUUAAGGAAAUUAAACAAGCUAGAUUUUGAAAA